rnacentral:lncRNA from 1 species
CCUCUCUAGGCAACCUGUUCCACUGCCUCCCUACCCUUACAGAGUACCAACCAUCUGCAUAAAUCAGAGAUAAUAAAAACAAGAUCUUCAAAAGGAGAAACAGCUUUGAGAACAGUACUUGUUGUUAAUGAUGAAUGAAAAAAGAAGUUGAAGGACAGGUAAUUGGAGACGGAGU